rnacentral:rRNA from 1 species
UACAGAGGUCCCAAGCGUUACUGAGAAUCACUGGGUUUAAAGGGUGCGUAGGUGGUCCGUUAAGUCAGUUGUGAAAUCCCCGGGCUCAACCCGGGAACUGCUUCUGAUACUGGCGGACUUGAGGCCAGUAGGGGUCACUAGAACUGACGGUGGAGCGGUGAAAUGCGUAGAGAUCGGCAGGAACACCCAGGGGGAAGCCAGUCGACUGGGCAUCUACUGACGCUGAGGUGCGAGAGCGUGGGGAGCGAACCGG